GUCACCUUGGCCGAGUGGUUAAGGCGUUAGACUUGAAUUUCUCAGAUUCGGGCAUCUAAUGGGUUCGCCCGCGUAGGUUCAAAUCCUGCAGGUGACG